rnacentral:rRNA from 1 species
CAGAUCUUGACAUCCUACGAAUGCCUGUGAGGACAGGCAGUGCCUUCGGGAACGUAGAGACAGGUGGUGCAUGGCUGUCGACAGCUCGUGUCGUGAGAUGUUGGGUUAAGUCCCGCAACGAGCGCAACCCUCGUCCUAUGUUGCCAGCGAGUAAUGUCGGGGACUCAUAGGAGACUGCCGGGGUCAACUCGGAGGAAGGUGGGGAUGACGUCAAGUCAUCAUGCCCCUUAUGUCCAGGGCUGCACACAUGCUACAAUGGCCGGUACAAAGAGCUGCGAUACCGCAAGGUGGAGCGAAUCUCAUAAAGCCGGUCUCAGUUCGGAUUGGGGUCUGCAACUCGACCCCAUGAAGUCGGAGUCGCUAGUAAUCGCAGAUCAGCAACGCUGCGGUGAAUACGUUCCC